GAUGAACGCUAGCUACAGGCUUAACACAUGCAAGUCGAGGGGAAACGACAUCGAAAGCUUGCUUUUGAUGGGCGUCGACCGGCGCACGGGUGAGUAACGCGUAUCCAACCUGCCCAUCACUUGGGAAUAACCUUGCGAAAGUAAGACUAAUACCCAAUGACAUCCCACGAAGACAUCUGAAUGGGAUUAAAGAUUUAUCGGUGAUGGAUGGGGAUGCGUCUGAUUAGCUUGUUGGCGGGGUAACGGCCCACCAAGGCAACGAUCAGUAGGGGUUCUGAGAGGAAGGUCCCCCACAUUGGAACUGAGGCACGGUCCAAACUCCUACGGGCGGCAGCAGUGAGGAAUAUUGGUCAAUGGGCGAGAGCCUGAACCAGCCAAGUAGCGUGCAGGAUGACGGCCCUAUGGGUUGUAAACUGCUUUUAUAAGGGAAUAAAGUGGGUCUCGUGAGACUUUUUGCAUGUACCUUAUGAAUAAGGACCGGCUAAUUCCGUG
rnacentral:rRNA from 1 species